CUGUUAGUUUGGCACAAGGUGGCCCCGCCCCUGCCUUCUUCAGCCCAUGGACUUACAGUUACCUCUGUAGUGGACGUAUAAACCAGAAGGUUCUCAACAGUGAUUCAGUGGCAGAUGUCCAGCUGAGAGUUAAUUGACCAGUGCCAUCAUACUCCACGCAGUGCUGCGGCUGCAGCCUAUGUUGGAACAACUAAGGGAAGGCUUGCAGCUGUAUGGGCUCCGUUCACUGAUGAGUCAGUACCCAGAUAUCUGCCAGCCCUUGUUUGUUUCUGGGGAAGAUGUAAAAGUCAAUGCAGAGUUUGUCAUGACAUCCAUUCUUCCUCAACUGAGUGACAAAGGGACUACCAGGCAUCAGGUUGAGCUGGAGAUGAUGAACUUCAUUCAGG